rnacentral:rRNA from 1 species
ACCUGAUCCAGCGAUGCCGCGUGUGUGAAGAAGGCCCUCGGGUUGUAAAGCACUUUCGCAGGGGAAGAAACGGCGCGCUCUAACAUAGCGCGCUACUGACGGUACCCUGAAAAGAAGCGCCGGCUAAU